GAGGUCAGGAGUUUGAGACCCGUCUGGCCAACAUGGUGAAACUCUUGUCUCUACUGAAAAUACAAAAAAUUACCCAGCCAUGGUGGUGCACACCUGUAAUCUCAGCUACUCAGGAGGCUGAGGCAGCAGAUGUGUUUGAACCUGGGAGGCGGAGGCUGCAGUGAGCCCAGAUCGUGCCACUGCACUCCAGCCUGGACGACAGAGUGAGACUCAAAAAAAAAAAAAAAAAGUCAUUUUGGCAACCAGUCACCACUUCUUUUUGAUAGCCCCUGGUUUUGUUAGGGGUUAGGGGAAGCAAGGUGUUCAGCAAAAUGAAUAUACUUCCUGGCUUCCUUUGCAGCUAGGGGUGGCCGUGUCACAGUCUGGCCAAGGAAAGGAAAUUGGGAGUUGCUGUGUGGAAACUCAACUCUCUGGAACUUCUUCCUUCCUCCUGCCUCUGCACAAAUGUGAUGGCAGCAGCUGAGGCCACCAUCUUGCGACCAUGAGAGAAAAACCUGGAGAACAGAUGUGUCCUCAGCCCUGACUUCAGACCAACCUACACCCACCUCUAGGCGUGGGGGCUAAGUGAGAGAUGGAUACACUGUUUCAUUUAAGCCCUGGUCACUUAGGUUUUCUGUUAUUCACACCCCAACAAAACCCUACAUGGUCCAGGAGGGCACCAGGCAAAGUAGAGAAGGGUACGAGUUUAUUUCCUGCUUCCCUGGAGACCACCAACCCUCUCACUCUUCCAGACCAGCCUCUGCCACUUCCCAGCUGUCGGCCCUCCUCCAAACAAAUGUGCAUGCCAACACCCAGUGGGUGUGAGGCUUGUAGGCCCAAGUCUAGAGAGAGCUGAGUCUGGCAAACCCUGAAAGCCCCUGUCCCAGCAAGCCAGGCCACAGGUCUGUAGUAUCUGGGACCAGUGAAUAAGGGGACCGGGGGUGCUACUGAGACUCAGAAACCCCAGGACUAGCCCAGGGUAGUUAGAACUGAGUGAGGUUAGCCAGAACUAACCUCACGCAGAUCGCUCCUCCCCCGUUCCCCUCCCUCCACCUUGGUUUGGAAGCCUCCCCGGAGCUCUCCCAGGCUGCCGUCCGCUGUAAACUCUGCCUCCACAAAAAUGCCCUGGGCAACCUGCAACUCACAGCCCUGCUGUCCUCAGAGUAUCAACUGGAGACAGAUGUGCCCAGAAUUGAGGAUGGGUGGGAAAUGAGGAGAAAUGAGGGCUGAGGAGGGGUCAUUCUCAGUCCCUCCCUCUCGGUCACAGGAGGGUGUUACCCAUGCUUUUGGGUGGGUCCCAGGCCCAUAGCUGCAAAUAUUCAUAUUGGCUGCUCUUUAGUGAGCAAGGGUAUGUGCCAGGCAUUGGCAUUGUGCUGGACAUGCAUCAUCACACUGAGUCCUCACGGAAGAUGUAUUAUUCCCAUUUCACAGAAAAUGAAACUGAGGCUUGAGGUUAAGCGAUUUGUCCGUGACCACAAAGAGUUUUCAGGACUCAAACCCAGAUCUGUCACUGGGCAAGGUGGCUCACUCCUGCAAUCCCAGCCCUUUGGGAGACUGAGACCGGUGCAUCUCUUGUGGCCAGGAGUUCAAGCCUGGCCAACAUGGCAAAACCACAUCUCUACUAAAAAUACAAAAAUUAGCUGGGCGUGGUGGCACGCGCCUGUAAUCCCAGCUACUCAAGUGGUGACUGAGGCAGGAGAAUUGCUUGAACCCAGGAGGUGGUGAUUGCAGUGAGCCUAGAUCGUGCCACUACAUUCCAGCCUGAGUGAGAGAGUAAGACUCUGUCUCCAAAAAAAACCCAGAUCUGUCUGACUCUGACACCCAACCUUUAAUCAUUCGCUGUUGUCAAUGUCACCUCCGUUUUGACCAGCCAAGCCAGACCUCCCUGGAGCCUGUGGAGAAGCCAAGGUAGAAAAGGGUUGGAAAAGAAUGGUAAAAUAGGCCAGGUGUGGUGGCUCACCCCUGUAAUUGCAGCACUUUUGGAGGUCAAGACAGGCAGAUUGCUUGAGCCCAGGAGUUCGAGACCAGCCUGGGCAACAUAGUGAGACCCUGUUUCAACUUAAAAAAAAAAAUGGUAAUGAACAAUUGUCAAUUCUGAGCAGCCGGGUAUGGUAUGACCCUGUGUACUUUUUCUGUAUUUUAAAAUGUUCUCAAAAUAAAACCUGUUUCAAAAAAAAAAGAAGAGGACAAAGAAGAUGAGGAGGAAAAAGAGGAAGAGGUAAGGAAGAGGAAGGAAGAGGAGGGGGAGGGGGAGGAAGAAGAGGAGGAGGGAGGGAGGAAGGAAGGAGAAUAAAUGAAGAAAGAGGCCAGGUGGGAUGGCUCACGGCUGUAAUCCCAGCACUUUGGGAGACCGAGGUGGGUGGAUCACCUGAGGUCAGGAGUUUGAGACCAGCCUGGGCAACAUGAUGAAACCCUGUCUCAACUAAAAAUACAAAAAUUAUCGAGGUGUGGUGGUGCGUGCCCAUAAUCCCAGCUACUCGGGAGGCUGAGGCAGGAGAAUCAUUUGAACCCAGGAGGCAGAGGUUGUAGUGAGCUGAGAUUUUGCCACUGCACUCCAGCUGGGGCAACAGGAGCAAAACUUAAUCACACACACAAAAAAUAAUAAUAAUAAUGUAAAAAAAA
rnacentral:lncRNA from 1 species